CUCCGCCCCAGCACAAGAUACAAGACAGAAGAGAGACAAUAAGCUUUUUCCUCCCACUUUACACUCCUCAACCAUAAUCCCAGAGAAUUCAUUUUCAGGCAAGCUGGAUAAUGCUGGUGGAAAGCAGGAUUUUGCAAAUGCAGGCUGCAGUCUCCCAGCAAAAGGGAAGCCAGCUGAAGAGCAGGAACUGCCUUUCUGGAAACAAGUUAGACUCUGCAACAAAUUGGCUCCUUACUGCUCGGGGCUGGCUGGGAUUGUAAAGAAGCUACAAGAGAAACACCAUGGAGUCAAAAUCUUAUCAGGAGUCAACCCUCUGACAUCCCACAUCCUCUGCAGGGCCAAUUUCACUGAAAAAAGGGAAAAUGAAAAGGAGCCAUUUCUUCACUACACCCUGGAAGGACUGAGGUACCUUAUACUAUAUGUUUAUUUUCCAUUUGCUGUAAAAGGGCAGCUUUUUGGAACAAUCUGGCAGAAUAGCACAAAUAGAUUCUUAAACACUGUAGGAUACAAGAAGCAGCCUAUG